CCUUUCCACCACUUUAGUGUCGCUGAGACACAUUUUUGAGUGCUGAAUUCCUGCAUGCUGGUGCUUUUAUUUGAACGAAUGGCUGGUGCAUCCCAAUCAGGAUUGAAGUUUAGAGAAAGGAGCCUCAUGCAGAGAGAUGGACAGAAGUAGGUUAUAGGCAGGAAUAACAUAAAGCUCUCAACUCUGGCUGGAGAUCCCAAGAAAAUAGCCUGCAUUUUCUUCUGUGAACUGCCAAAACUGCUGGAGUGAAGCCCUAGAUCAAUAUUCCACAAAAAGUUCCCUGGGAGUGGUAUGCUUAAGCAGGAGAGGGAAGGAGAUCUCCUAGAUGCUCUGAGAUCUCUGAGGCUUUACCAGGAAACAGGGAGAUUGCUGAAAUUAGAUGGCAAAUUUAUAAAGCUGAGGCUAUACAACUCUUAAAAAUACCUGCCAAGCCUUAGGUGCAGCAGUUCCAGAUUUUAAAUGAGAGGGCCAAUGUUAACAAGACACAAUCCAACUACACAUGUUCAGAGACAUGAAUAACCAGCUGAGACAAACGGCCUUGAAAUUACAUGCUUACGGGAAAAAGUUAACUUGUAUAUUAAAACAUACAAACCCUGCUUUAUGGUCCCCGAAGAAAUGGAUAUAAAUGUGCAAGUGCACAGAACAUUUGCAUCGUUCUCCUGCCCGUGAUCUGUUACAGUGCAACACAAGUCUGGGCUUGAGGCAACUCUGUUCCUACGCCAAAAUUGUAUGGAAUGCACAAGAAGGUCAAGACUAGGAAUUUAUGUGUUUUGCAGUUAUUUAGAAAUUACGGGAAAGAGAACUUGGCUACUCCUGGCAUUGCACAGGUGUAUUUAACUGAGACCGUUCUUUGGGUCAGACUGUUUCAAUAAAAAUUCCACUUUAUCAGAAGCAAUGGCCCUGUGCAUGCUGUUAUUAGAAUAGAAAAGACAGGUCAAUGUGGGGAGAGGAACUAAGGGAUCACCUUCAAAAUUAUUUCUUUGCACCAUCUUUCUACCAGUAAAGUCUAGGCUUGAUGUUAGAGGAUCGUUAUCUGAAAGGAAGAUAAUUAAUGAUAACGUAUUAAGUCUGUGUAUGUGGAAAGAACCUAGAAAUAUUACUGUACAUUUUCAUUUGGUUGUGAAAACACUCAAAAGUCAUCACAGGAAGUAUCAUUUGAACUCUUCACUGUAUAACGAAUAAAAUGUUUCAGGAGCUAAGCAAACCUAAACUGUCACAUUUUUGAAGUGUAUGUUGUUAUUAUUAUUAUUGUAAACGGAUAGUGUCCUCUAACCAUAGCAGUGUAUCUGGAAACAAUUAAACAAUUAAAAUAGCUGUGCGUCAGAAUAAAAAUUCAUAGACCUAAUGGUGCAGGAAUUAUCAACAAGUGUACUAAGUGUAAGAGAAGUAGGCUCAGCACAGCUGCUUAAAUUUGUUUAAACUAACAGACGAGACGUAGCAGCAGUUUUAAAAUGCUGAGGCUGCCAGAGCAAUAGAAGUCAGCUGAAAACAGUGUUGUUCUAUAGAGGAGGGAGCUCCACCCUACCUGAGAUUUAAAGGAAGACCUAUAGGCUCUACUACUAAUGAGGUGUUAGAAGACACCAUAACCCCUGGCCAAAGCAUAUUAGCACAAACACGAACGCUGAUGUACCACAUUGGGACUAUACAAAAAAGAUUCAUGCAUAGUAAAACUAUCCUAUAAACACAAGAUUUGUUCAAAAAGGGCCAGGAGGACAAGGCUGGGAGAUGACACAAGUAAAAUGGACAGAUGGAACAAAGGAAACAUGAGAACAUGCAGAUGAAAAGAAACUGUCCAGCCAAGUCUCAAAGAUAAGCAUUAGGCUGACCCUGAACAGCUGUCAACGACAUGGGACUGUCAAUGUUUUGUGCUCUCAAUAUUGCACCUGUGCAAAACACUACUCCACAUUCUUACUGUUUCUUGGGAAUUAGACACAGCGACAAGUUUUCUAGCUUUCAAAUUAAGGAGUUAGUUUUUCCUUUUGAAAAAAAAAAACAACAAAACAAAUGCUGAAGAAAUCCUUCAAAAUUAGUGGCAGCUCAUGAAAAGUUUCCCAACAACAGCUUUAAAAAGUAACACAUCCAGCUUUGUGGGCAAUGGAGCAGACUUUCCACAAUACAGCGUGUGCUACUCCAGUAGUAAUCUGUCAAUGCAUGGAAAGUUAGCAGUGUCUGGACAGCCCAGGGGUGGGUAAUGCAACACAGAUGAUUUCACCUUUAGGUCUCCAGUUCAAAAAAAUACUGCCCACAAAGUGUCAUCACCUGAUAGUUUUUACUACGUCUAUUUACAGAACAAAAUUUCCCAAAGGGCCAAACUGAGAUCAAGAGUUUCUGUCUACUCCCUCCCUCCUCUUGCUCACAUUGUGUCUAUGCUCAGGAACAGACCUCCUCUACAGAUCUCAUAUUGUAGACAGACUGCAGAUAUGAUGGAAAUAAAGAACGGAAGACUGAAAUACGUUGUCAAAAUUCAGUGAGUCAGACAUAAAAGUGAUUCUGACUCCUAAGCUGACGACAUUCUUACUGGUGUACCUCCCCCAAAAGGCAAAAACAUAUGCAGCAAGAUCUGAGCUCCAGCAGCAUCAACAUUACUAGACAAGUGCAUAUUUUCCUGUUGGCCCCUCUGGAAUAGGACUGAUACCUCCCAGGAGUGCUACCUCCCUUUGCAUAGGCUGCAGAGAUGAUCUGUGCACACAGGGAGCAGAUCUGGGAUUCCCUGGCAUGCAACAGCCUGGACGGAGCUGCCACUUGGGUGUCUGGGAAUCUUGGGCAAAAAUUUAAAAAAAAAAACAAACACAACCAAAACCCUCAAAGCUCAUUUUUACCUAGACAAAGCAUCCGCAUCCAAGAUGUAACAACCUGAGAACAGUGUCUUUCAUAAUUAUUUGAUUCAAAGGAGCAGAAAUCCAUGCUCCCACUCUGCUCUCCUAAUACCAGAACCACCUAUGAUUAUGAUUAUAUAUAACAUCAGUAAAGAAACCCUUGCAUUAAUUCCUUCUAACUCUAAAGAUGCCCUUUCCAGGUCAAGCUGGCAGGUGGGCAGGAAUCCUGCUGAAGCUUAGAUCACAGUAUCCACCAAACACUUCCCAUGGAUGCCAAACUCAUUCGUUCUAGAGAAUUACACCCUGUUCUCAGUAAAAUAAUGAAAAUAAUAAAAAAGUACUAGGAAAAAAAAUAUGAAAGGGAGCCCAUCCAGAACAAAGCAUCAACAGCAUCAAAGAGCUCUGGAUUAUCUCUCCAUAUAAUCAACUGUCUCAUCUCACCAUUCUGCAAUAACAAGCAGUAAUUCUCUCACUACAAUUCUAUUUCCACUGUAAAUCAUUUCAAUUCUGACAUCUUCACUGAGGAAUAAAUAACAUGUGACCUUAUCUAACUUCAAUGUGGUAUUAAUUUUAACAGGAAAAAAAAGUGGUUUAUGAAAUUCAGGAGCUUAGGGUAACUGGGGGGAUAUAGGUCUGCCUCAGAGGGUAGCAUACGGAUUUAAUUUUCCCUACAUUUUUCACCAAAUUCUAGGAACUACAAUAAUGUUUUGCUAUAGGGUGGCACAAAAUCAUAAUCUUUGCUAGGAGAAUCAGGGGUCUGGAUGAUGCACUGGGCAGGAGAAAGAACAGUUGAAAAACAACUGCAAAACCUUACACAGACUUGAUUUCUUUCCAAGCUUUUCAUGUAACU